rnacentral:rRNA from 1 species
AGUGGCGAACGGGUGAGUAACAUAUCGGAACGUACCUAGUAAUGGGGGAUAACUAGCCGAAAGGUUAGCUAAUACCGCAUACGCCCUGAGGGGGAAAGCGGGGGAUCGUAAGACCUCGCGUUAUUAGAGCGGCCGAUAUCUGAUUAGCUAGUUGGUGGGGUAAAGGCCUACCAAGGCGACGAUCAGUAGCUGGUCUGAGAGGACGACCAGCCACACUGGAACUGAGACACGGUCCAGACUCCUACGGGAGGCAGCAGUGGGGAAUUUUGGACAAUGGGCGCAAGCCUGAUCCAGCCAUUCCGCGUGAGUGAAGAAGGCCUUCGGGUUGUAAAGCUCUUUCGCAAGGGAAGAAACGAUGCAGUCGAAUAAACUGCGUUAAUGACGGUACCUUGAUAAGAAGCACCGGCUAACUACGUGCCAGCAGCCGCGGUAAUACGUAGGGUGCGAGCGUUAAUCGGAAUUACUGGGCGUAAAGCGUGCGCAGGCGGUUUUGUAAGUCAGAUGUGAAAUCCCCGGGCUCAACCUGGGAACUGCGUUUGAAACUACAAGGCUAGAGUGUAGCAGAGGGGGGUAGAAUUCCACGUGUAGCAGUGAAAUGCGUAGAGAUGUGGAGGAAUACCAAUGGCGAAGGCAGCCCCCUGGGUUAACACUGACGCUCAUGCACGAAAGCGUGGGGAGCAAAC